AAACUAAAGAGUUUGAUCCUGGCUCAGAUUGAACGCUGGCGGCAUGCCUUACACAUGCAAGUCGAACGGCAGCACGGAGCUUGCUCUGGUGGCGAGUGGCGAACGGGUGAGUAAUAUAUCGGAACGUACCCAAGAGUGGGGGAUAACGUAGCGAAAGUUACGCUAAUACCGCAUACGAUCUAUGGAUGAAAGCAGGGGACCGCAAGGCCUUGUGCUCCUGGAGCGGCCGAUAUCUGAUUAGCUAGUUGGUGGGGUAAAGGCCCACCAAGGCAUCGAUC
rnacentral:rRNA from 1 species